UCUGUCGCUCUCUUCAAUGAUCUCAUGAAGGAAGUGAACCGAAGAAGGAAAAAGUCAAGAAACACAUGCCUCUCUUUUGGAGAAGCCCACAAGUGCCAUGGAGGGUGAAGCCGAGCAUUUGCUCACUUCCCUCAGGUGAACGAGAUUUGGAGCUGAAUUUGAGGCACUUCUCUCGUUUCUAAAAAACACAGACCCUCCAUGCUUUAAAGUGGAAUGAACCUAAAGCCACUUUAUCUAAAAUAGCAUCUGAAUUUUUGCCGUUGCCCAACGCCGUCUAUCUGAGGAUCGCCGUGCCCUUCAGCUGCAGCUGCCAGGUCUCUGCGGCAUGCUCUGACAGGGUGGGGUUAUCUCUGUGCCUCAGUUUCCUUUCUGGGACGCUGCCGACCUGUGGCUGACACAGAGCUACUGAAGUCUGACACCCACGCUUUUGCUAACACACAGAA